ACACCCACGUCUCUCCACCCAUCCCCUUUCCUCAACCCUCCGUAAACAGAGAUACACUCAGCGUGCUUCUCUUCUAUUUCCAGUUAGAGAAAAAUCAACAACCAGAGAUACACUUCGCGUGGUCUCUCUAGGUUUCUUGGAGCUUCCUUUUCAUCAAGUUUUUUUUCCGUUUCGUACGAUUCUACUGAACGGAGUGGAAUUGAAUCGUAUAUUUGAUAAAUAUUGAAGGUGAUCUUCAAACCCCUCAACGCCCCGCUCUCUGCAAAGGAUCAGAUAUGAUCAAAGACUGUUGUUGCCUUAGUUGCUGCUGCCAACUGCUGAAGUGCUGGUUUAAGGCUGUUAUAAGUUUAGCUGCUGCUGUAUAAUAUCACAAAACACAUAGUUGUGUUAAAAGAAGAACUCCAGCCUUCUCUCGUUACCGCUCAUCGCUCAUCGAACCUGCUCGUCUGUUGGUCUGGCUCUUGUCAACUGCUACUGAUAAGAAAAACACAUUCUUAGAGUGCUCUUCUCAUCAAGCUAAGUUUCUGGUUUUGUAUGUGUAUUAAUGAACUUGGUUCUAUGGUGCAUCUUAUUUCUUUAUUCUUCUUUUUCUUUUACUUAUGGGUUGUUGUUGAUGGUGUUACUAACUAAUUGUACGUCGAGCGAGGUUCACUUGCAGGUAUUGUUUAUCAUCUUAGUCAGUUUCCACCGAACUUUUUGCCAAAGGACCUUUUUUUUUAACUUACGCAAGUAUAAUUGGGGGCCAAGGUAAGUUUCUGCUUCUUUUUCUAACUUUUUGCUAGAUCAGUUCUUUUCAACUCCUCUAUGGAUUUUUUCAAUUCCACCACUUUGGAUGAAGUCACCCAUUUUUCAUUGCUAAUUUAACUGAGAAAAAAUAUGAUUUUUCUUCAUCAUGAACAAUUUAAGGGGAGAAAAAUUCUUAUUGAAGAGUGAUUCGCUCAUCAAAAUGGCUAACCGCUCAAAUUCACAAAUGACAAAAUAACAGUCCCUGCAUCCAAUAAACAACUCCUCCACACACAUGAAUCAGAACUAAACUGAUAGUUUAAUUCUUUAAACAACCUCAAACAAAGACAACAAUGUCAGUGGCAGGAGAACUAGAGAACUUCAUUAUAGAAGAAUAAGAAAAAGGAUGGUAUAAGUACCACCAUUAACAUGAAAGUUCAGAGGACAUCCUAUGAGACGAACAGUAAAUUAGAUUUAGCCUCCACAUACGUAGAUAUAGGAAUACACAUGCAACGUGAUUAAGAAAUAAGUAAAUGAUCAAGAAAACAAUUUAAGGGAGGAAAUGAUAUACUGAAAAACACUAUCAUUGUGUUACUAAAUUCGGGAAAAUAGUGGAUUUUGAUUCUUUAAUACAUUAAACUUGUUAUAAUUAAACCUUUCAACUACUUCAAAUCAUUACUCUUAAAGUUUCCUUUUUUUCUUGACAGUAUAGAGCCUGUUUGGAUGGACUUAUGGCUUAUAGCCAGUGGCGGAGCCAGAAUUUUCAGUAAGGGGGUUCAAAAAUACGAAGAAGCCAAGGGGGUUCAACAUCUACUAUAUAUACAAAAAAAUAAUUUUAACCUUCAAUAUACACUGUAAUUUUCUGCCGAGUGAACCCCCUUCGUAACACUUGGCUCCGCCCCUGCUUAUAGCUUAUAAGUCAUAAGUUAGAAAUUCUAACUUAUGACUUUUGACUUAUUUUUGUUAUUUUGGCAUAAAUAAAAAGUUCUUAAAAGGACUUUUUUAUCGAAUCCAAACAUUACAAAAGUGCUUAAAAGAUAUUUUGGCUUAAAAGCAUCUAAAAUAAGUCAAUCCAAACAAGCUCUAUAGCAGGUAAAGGAUCAACUCUGAUACUUAAGAAACUCAGAGUAAACAUAAACAACACAAAGUAUUAAGUCUAUACUACUUAAACGGGUGGAUGUAGGAAACAUAAUUCCUCUCUUGAAGGAAAAAUUAUGGUAGACAGUCAAUUAGGAAAAAAAGUUGGUUUUGUAACAAAGUAAAUAUUGUUGAAUAAGAAUAUAUGAUAUGAAGCAAUAUUUAGGGUAUUUUCUUAUUUUUGUAGUUUCUCGGACUUUGGUCUCUACAGGCAUUUCUGAAAUUAAUUUGUUGCGGUAUUUUGUAUUUUCUGCUGCAUGUUUUAGCAUUUUCUGCGUUUCUGGUUCUGCUUUACUUUCUGCAGUUAAUGGAGUAUCAGUCCAUUUUUUAAAAUAGAAUGCGUUGGAAGAAGCUUGUUACAUAACUUCUGAAGUUUGUUGGUGUUUGUGGGUUUAACUAUGAUUCUUUGUUGGUGAAUAAUACUAGUGAAAAAGAUGUAUAAUAAUGGUGAAAAGGAUUUUAAUGUGUUUUUGGCGAUUUUUCAAUUACUGUGUUUAUGUAACUUUUCUGCAACAUCUCUUAAUUGUUCAUGUUGGCUGGUAGCUGUUGCCCGUGAAAAGGAUGAGUUGGUCGGACCUUUUAAUAUAUAGUAACAUUCUAGAACUAUUUAAAAGAUUCAUCUCUUUAAACCUUACCUUCAUCAUCAUCAUGCUCAAUUACAACUCAAUAGUUAUAAGCAUCACUUGAAAGCAUGAUCUAGUGGUUUUAGCAGUGUUAUGAGUACCAACUUCAAACAUCUCUGAUGUCUUCUGUUUGUAGUUAAGAAUCAGUGUAUCUGGAAUGGAGUUGCAAAGUUUGGUAUUUUUUACAAAUGUCACCUGCCUUGUAUGUGAUUUUGUAGCGUUCUAUUAGUUUUAUAACCAUGGGUAAUGACAGACUGAAACCAGCUCAUUUCUAAAAACUUGAAGGAUGUUUUUUGUUUACAGUGAUCCUUUAAGUAUGCAGUCGAAGUAAUGAUUAUAUUGUAGGGAUGUUCUGGACAAAGCUCUUAUAUCUUCACUUGAAUGGUAAAAACUCAAGAAUUUGAAGAUGGAAGAAUCUAUCGUUCAUGAAAGUAAGGAGCAAGUUGAAGUUCAAGAGGGAUUUUUAUUUCGUUAGGGGAGGUUUAAAGACAAUAUCUUAUGCAUAUAUGCUGCAAAUUUUCUCUUUUUCGUCAUUGAUAAGAUGUCAUAUAACUUGGAUAUGGUAUAUCUUUCUUUAAUUAGUUCUUUGUAUUAACAAUGAAGUUUUAUAUGGAAUAUUUGUUAUUUAGUA